UUCGACAGACUGAAGAGACCCCCUGUGGGGCGGCCUUUUCAGGCCAAGGCCUGUGGGCCUGCCCUGCACCCCAGUCAUGUGUUUAACUGGGAGAGAAAAGGACUCUUUCCCACUAAGAUUCAAACUAACCAGGCAAGUUUGUCAUUGGUUCUUCAUUCAACGCAGAAGACAUUGAUUGCAACUUCAGCACUGUCGGACUGAAUUCUCAGGACUUCCUACAGCAACAUUGUAUCCAGACACUCUUCAAAAAGGCAGAGGACUAAUGCAAGAAUCUCACCGCUGUCACAGUCUCCGUCUGUCCUGGACUCCAAAGACUCCAUCUCCCAUCAUCCUCCCUGGCCCACACCUGCACUCACUUCCUCAUCACCUCCUGAUCUGCACAUCAUACACACCUGUUCCCCAUCAGCACUCAUUACUCAGGACUUAUAAGCACACCACUCACCUCCCUCAGUUGUUCAGUCACUGUUGUUUUGGAUGUGUUCGCUUACUGUCAUUUUUUGGAUGUAUAGCCUAUGUUUUGAGUUAUCAUUAAACCUUUUGAGUUCUUUGAA